UAAAUGCUACCAUACUUCAUUAUGCCAUUCACUUAAAAAUAUACACUAAAUGACUUUAAUAAACUAAUGCCGUAUUUAUUUGAGGUUCUUUGAUUAUUCGAAUUACAAUUUUAACACAUUCCCUAUUUAGUUUUAGUUUUUACUCUUUAUAGGUUCGUUCUGGUUGCUGAAUAUUUCACUUUAUUCGGAAAAGCACCUCAUUAACUUUGUUCUUUAAUAUGUUAAGCUUCCUGCUCUUUUGCACUUUUGCUUGGCUACUGCUUGAGAAACCUUUAGGUAUUCCCUUCCAUUUUCUUAUUAAGAGAUUUGGAAUCUUUUGGACCAUGAAAUGAUUUUAGUACUUUAAACAUAAUUAAGUACAUAAAUAUAAUUUGAUGGUAACUUUAAAGAUCAGCAAGAUUUGGUUAAUACAGUUUUAUUCACCCUGGGCUUAAGUUAUGGAGCUUUUCACAUGUCAGUAACACUUCAAUAGUGUCGUGUUUUUAUUUCUAUUGUUAAUAUAAGACAAGGUUUUAUGCAGGCAGGUGCUCUCAGGCUCGGGUGUUGGCUAUGAAGAGAUGAAAAUGGAGCCCUCCUUCCAGACUUUAGAGCUCUAACAGACUCCAGAGGACGGUCUCCACAGCAGCGCUGUUCACUUAGGGGGAUAAUUCUGGUGGGUCUGUCCUGUGCAUUUUCCGCUGCCCACUAGAUGCCAGUAGCACCCUCCCAAAAGUGUCUAAGACAUUGCUGGAGGCAGAGUUGUUCCUGGCAGGCAGAGUUGCCCCCAGUUGAGAAUUAUUGCUCUAGAAAAAUCUCACAGAUCUUUCAUUUUAAGUUCUAUUGAAUUGAUAGCUCAAUUGUUAAAAAUAUUAAAACAGGGGUUCCAGCGUCCCUGAAAAUGAUCGGUUGGCUUCCAUAGCUGCUGAAUUGCAGUUUAGGUCCCUGAGUCGUCACUCAAGCCCCACGGAGGAGCGAGACGAACCAGCAUAUCCAAGAGGAGAUUCAAGUGGGUCCACAAGAAGAAGUUGGGAACUUCGGACACUAAUCAGCCAGAGUAAAGAUAGUGCUUCUAAACUAGGACCCAUAGAAGCUAUCCAGAAGUCAGUCCGAUUGUUUGAAGAAAAGAGGUACCGAGAAAUGAGGAGAAAGAAUAUCAUUGGUCAAGUUUGUGAUACGCCUAAGUCGUAUGAUAAUGUUAUGCAUGUUGGCUUGAGGAAGGUGACCUUCAAGUGGCAAAGAGGAAACAAAAUUGGAGAAGGCCAGUAUGGGAAGGUGUACACCUGCAUCAGCGUCGACACCGGGGAGCUGAUGGCCAUGAAGGAGAUUCGAUUUCAACCUAAUGACCAUAAGACUAUCAAGGAAACUGCAGAUGAAUUGAAGAUAUUCGAAGGCAUCAAACACCCCAAUCUGGUUCGGUAUUUUGGUGUGGAGCUCCAUAGAGAAGAAAUGUACAUCUUCAUGGAGUACUGCGAUGAGGGGACUUUAGAAGAGGUGUCAAGGCUGGGACUUCAGGAACAUGUGAUUAGGCUGUAUUCAAAGCAGAUCACCAUUGCAAUCAAUGUCCUCCAUGAGCAUGGCAUAGUCCACCGUGACAUUAAAGGUGCCAAUAUCUUCCUUACCUCAUCUGGAUUAAUCAAACUGGGAGAUUUUGGAUGUUCAGUAAAGCUCAAAAACAAUGCCCAGACCAUGCCUGGUGAAGUGAACAGCACCCUGGGGACUGCAGCAUACAUGGCACCUGAAGUCAUCACUCGUGCCAAAGGAGAGGGCCAUGGGCGUGCGGCCGACAUCUGGAGUCUGGGGUGUGUUGUCAUAGAGAUGGUCACUGGCAAGAGGCCUUGGCAUGAGUACGAGCACAACUUUCAAAUUAUGUAUAAAGUGGGGAUGGGACAUAAGCCACCAAUCCCUGAAAGAUUAAGCCCUGAAGGAAAGGACUUCCUUUCUCACUGCCUUGAGAGUGACCCAAAGAUGAGAUGGACCGCCAGCCAGCUCCUCGACCAUUCGUUUGUCAAGGUUUGCACAGAUGAAGAAUGAAGCCUAGUAGAAUACGGACUUGGAAAAUUCUCUUAAUCACUACUGUAUGUAAUAUUUACAUAAAGACUGUGCUGAGAAGCAGUAUAAGCCUUUUUAACCUUCCAAGACUGAAGACUGCACAGGUGACAAGCGUCACUUCUCCUGCUGCUCCUGUUUGUCUGAUGUGGCAAAAGGCCCUCUGGAGGGCUGGUGGCCACAAGGUUAAAGAAGCUGCAUGUUAAGUGCCAUUACUACUGUACACGGACCAUCGCCUCUGUCUCCUCCGUGUCUCGCGCGACUGAGAACCGUGACAUCAGCGUAGUGUUUUGACCUUUCUAGGUUCAAAAGAAGUUGUAGUGUUAUCAGGCGUCCCAUACCUUGUUUUUAAUCUCCUGUUUGUUGAGUGCACUGACUGUGAAACCUUUACCUUUUCUGUUGUUGUUGGCAAGCUGCAGGUUUGUAAUGCAAAAGGCUGAUUACUGAAAUUUAAGAAAAACGUUCUUUUUUCAAUAAAUGGUUUAUUUUAGGAAAGCUC
rnacentral:sRNA from 1 species